rnacentral:lncRNA from 10 species
AUGGCCUCCCUCAGACUCCUCAUGAAGGAUAAGAUCCUCAAAAAGAGGACCAACAAGUUCAUGAGGCACCAAUCAGACUGAAAUGUCAAAAUUAAGCAUAACUGGCGGAAACCCAGAGGUCUUAACAGUAGGGUUCGUAGAAGGUCCAAGGGCCAGAUCUUGAUGCCCAACAUUGCUUAUGGGAGCAACAACAACAACAAAAAAAACAUGCUGCCCAGUGGCUUCCAGAAGUUUCUGGUCCACAGCCUCAAGGAGCUGAAAGUGCUGCUGAUGUGCAACAAAUCUUACUGUGCUGAGAUCGCUCACAAAAUUUCCUCCAGAACUGCAAAGUCAUCAUGGAAAGAGUCACCCAGCCGGCCAUCAGAGUCACCAACCCCAGUACCAGGGUGCACAGCUAAGAAAAUGAGUAG